rnacentral:tRNA from 1 species
GGUGAGGUGGAUGAGUGGCUGAAAUCAGUAGUUUGCUAAACUGCCGUACGGGUAACUCUGUACCGAGGGUUCGAAUCCCUCCCUCACCGCCA